CAUGUUUCAGGAACUGAGCAACGUGUCGCAACAAGAUAACAAAACUAAGCAAGUGAACAUUUUAGAGUAUAACCUAAACCACCGCGUAUGCAUUUCUGUGAUUAAGAGGGAUUGGCUCCACUUUGUGUUAAUUCAAACCUUACCGUCUCCUCUGGCUGGUCCCUUGAACUGGGUUUUGAGUGGAAGCAAAGCCAUAUUCCCCACCAUCCUGGUGUCGGGGACCAUCAGGCUUGAGUGAUACGCCUUCAGAAGAGAGAAUAAAGUUGCUGUCACGUAUAUUUUUAAGAAGUCCUGGAGUCACACUACUCCGGUCCUCAGCUGUCAACUUUGUCUUGAAAAAACGCAUCAUAAUUGAGGUUAGCAGGCUCUUCAUCAACCUCCUGUAGAAAAGGAAAGAAUAGGAAUAACAAAAUAAUAAUUCACAAUAUUAUAACAAUGACAAAUGCAUUGUAAUAACUUAACACCAUAUUGUUAAAUGUUAUUUUAUUGUGUUAUGUUUCUUCACCUUCGGCUCCUUGAACUCCAGGUCCUCUCCAUACUGUAUAGAGAAGUCAAUGUUUUGCAGUACUAUGUUAAUACCUUCCUCAUCUGUGCGGUCAAAGGGCAGGAAUCUUACCAUACUGUAGUCAUCAAUCUGGACACACAGACUAAGACUUUAGAAACUGUCUCAUUAAAAACAAAUUAAAAUAAAUGCAGUAUUAAAUUAAGGGCUUCAAUCACCAGACCACAGAUGGCUUUAGUCAGAUUCUUGAACUUUUUGCUUCUGAUGUUAUCGGAGUUAUCUUCCAUCAUUGAGUACAUGUCUGGGUCCAGGUACCUAGUAAAAAAGAAA